rnacentral:rRNA from 1 species
UUCCCCUUCGGGGGACAGGGUGACAGGUGGUGCAUGGUUGUCGUCAGCUCGUGUCGUGAGAUGUUGGGUUAAGUCCCGCAACGAGCGCAACCCUCGACCUUAGUUGCCAGCAUUCAGUUGGGCACUCUAAGGUGACUGCCGGCUAAAAGUCGGAGGAAGGUGGGGAUGACGUCAAAUCAUCAUGCCCCUUAUGACCUGGGCUACACACGUGCUACAAUGGGCGGUACAAAGGGUCGCGAACCCGCGAGGGGGAGCCAAUCCCAAAAAGCCGCUCUCAGUUCGGAUUGCAGGCUGCAACUCGCCUGCAUGAAGCCGGAAUCGCUAGUAAUCGCGGAUCAGCAUGCCGCGGUGAAUACGUUCCCGGGCCUU